AUUGAACGCUGGCGGCAGGCCUAACACAUGUAAGUCGAACGAGUGGCGGACGGGUGAGUAAUGUCUGGGAAACUGCCUGAUGGAGGGGCAUAACUACUGGAAACGGUAGCUAAUACCGCAUAUCAUCGGAUGUGCGCAGAUUGGAUUAGCUAGUAGGUGGGGUAAAGGCUAACUUAGGCGACGAUCCCGAGCUGGUCUGAGAGGAUGUCCAGCCAUGCUGUAACUGAGCCACGGUCCAACCUCCUACGGAGGGAAGAUGUGGGGAAUAUUGCACAAUGGGCGCAGGCCGGAUGCAGGCAUGCGGGGGGGAUGAAGAAGGCGUUCGGGUUGUAAAGUAAUUGCAGCGGGGAGGCGUUACCCGCAGAAGAAGCGCCGGCUAACUCCGUGCCAGCCGCCGCGGUAAUUC
rnacentral:rRNA from 1 species